AUAUAUAUAUUAACUCAAAAAUAAACAAAUGCCAAGAAGAAAAACUAAUAUGUUUUUUGUCCGUAAUUUGUUACAGAAAGCCAAGUAAAUAACCAUAUAUCAGUACAGCAAAAAGAGAACCUUAGUCCUAGCAAAGAUUGGUGCCAGCAAGGCAUUUUUCUAGCUUUUUCAGGUUGAGAUAUCAGUGGCCCUCAAGAGCCCAUAAGCUAAACGAUUCCAAGAAGCACUUAGCCCACAAUCACAGUCUAAAUAACAACAUAAGUGUUAUUUACAGUCUUAUAGCUUCCUCAAACUGAAAAUAUCGAUGCAUCAAGCCCAAGUUAAAAAACUGUAUACCUUCUUCCAAAUCUCAAAAGCUGCAUAUAUAUAAACCAAAAUUCUUAAGCCUUUCUUUCUAUGUUUCCAUUCUCAGCGUCCAAAAAGAGGCUAAAAGAAAAGAAAAGAAAUCCUAAAAC
rnacentral:misc_RNA from 1 species